CUUAGUUGUUACUUCAGUUACGUCACGGCGGCGCAUGCGCGGCAACCAUUUAACAAAUAUGGCUGCCGGUGUUAAGCAUGUUUUUGUUUAUUUUUACUUUAAAUGUUUAAAUUUUAAUAUUACUACAGACUGUUCUGUCGGUUGAAGUGAUAAUAUGGAUGUGCGAAGUGGACUCAAGAUGUCGACUUCUCUACUGGCGACGACGUGGGAUGAUGAAAUGCUUACGGUUUUUGGACCUUACCGAUAGAAUAAGGUUACCGUCGAUUCAGUUACAUUACACUUCCUGUCAGUCACGGCGAAAAUCAGAACGUCUUUUACUUUGGCGUAACGCAAUAUGACGGAGGUAGUCGGAUCUAGUAUUGUGACCAAUUUAAUUUGAACUAUGAGCUGUGUGUUGCGAUUGAUUUCUGCCCUAAUAUGUGUAUCAGUAAAACUUCUUUACGCUCGAUUGACUUGGGGAGUAAGCUGGUGAAUGCGUGACGAGAGCGUUACGAAAAGUGUGAUCGGGUGAAACGAAUGAAAGUUGAGAGGGAGACUAAGUUAGUGAAGACAGAAAGAGAGAGAGUUACGUUUCGUAAGUUUUACUUCAGACGUGCUGUUUUAAAGCACACCCGUUUUUUUAUAAAUUAUAAUGUGUAUUAUUAGGAAAAUUGUUUGAAUAUUUUAAUGAGUAUUUUAAAUUUAGAAAGUAGCUACUUUAUAUUAAUACCACGUAUGACGACGCGUUGGUGCAGCGGUAAUAGCACUGGCAGUUGCGCUGGCGGUCGCGGGUUAGAUCCCGCUCACGACAGAUAUUUGUAUCAACCCUAUAGAUGUUAGCCAUGGUCUGGGAGUUGUGUUUGUGUACUUCGUGUGUUUCCGGAUCCCCAAUACAGGAGAAAAUCCUACUGGGGGAUCCGUUGAGUGUGAAGCGUUUAUUAAUUCUUAAUUCUAAUAUAGUUCUAUUAUUCUAAAUAAAGUUUCAUUUAUAUUCGAUACGUUUUUCAGUAUGUACAUACACGUAAAAAUUAAUACCAAAUUUUGUUAAUAAAAGAGAGCAAUCAAUAGUUCAAGUAACAUUGGUCUAGUUCAGCGUCAAUGUCACUUAUGUGUUUAACCCGGCGAGUGGAUGGAGGAAAUGAUGGAUGGAACAGCACCCGGACCGUUGCUGAAACGCGGUCGAUUUGAUGGAACUACAUUGAGUUGAUAUUACGUUUUCUAAAAUUAAAAAGUAAAAAAUAAUUAUUUUAAAAUAUUUUUAUGUAUAUUUUUGAAUCAUUAAUGUAUUUUUUAUAUUACACAAUCUCAUUUUUAAUGUUAUUUAAAAUGUGUCAAAAAUUAAAAAAAAUUUUGUGUCUGUGUAAAAUUUAGGUGAUCUUAUAAUAUUAAGGAAAGAAGAUAUGUUGAGGUGUUA
rnacentral:misc_RNA from 1 species